rnacentral:rRNA from 1 species
GACGAACGCUGGCGGCGUGCCUAAUACAUGCAAGUCGUACGCUUCUUUUUCCACCGGAGCUUGCUCCACCGGAAAAAGAAGAGUGGCGAACGGGUGAGUAACACGUGGGUAACCURCCCAUCAGAAGGGGAUAACACUUGGAAACAGGUGCUAAUACCGUAUAACAAUCGAAACCGCAUGGUUUUGAUUUGAAAGGCGCUUUCGGGUGUCGCUGAUGGAUGGACCCGCGGUGCAUUAGCUAGUUGGUGAGGUAACGGCUCACCAAGGCYACGAUGCAUAGCCGACCUGAGAGGGUGAUCGGCCACAUUGGGACUGAGACACGGCCCAAACUCCUACGGGAGGCAGCAGUAGGGAAUCUUCGGCAAUGGACGAAAGUCUGACCGAGCAACGCCGCGUGAGUGAAGAAGGUUUUCGGAUCGUAAAACUCUGUUGUUAGAGAAGAACAAGGAUGAGAGUAACUGUUCAUCCCUUGACGGUAUCUAACCAGAAAGCCACGGCUAACUACGUGCCAGCAGCCGCGGUAAUACGUAGGUGGCAAGCGUUGUCCGGAUUUAUUGGGCGUAAAGCGAGCGCAGGCGGUUUCUUAAGUCUGAUGUGAAAGCCCCCGGCUCAACCGGGGAGGGUCAUUGGAAACUGGGAGACUUGAGUGCAGAAGAGGAGAGUGGAAUUCCAUGUGUAGCGGUGAAAUGCGUAGAUAUAUGGAGGAACACCAGUGGCGAAGGCGGCUCUCUGGUCUGUAACUGACGCUGAGGCUCGAAAGCGUGGGGAGCAAACAGGAUUAGAUACCCUGGUAGUCCACGCCGUAAACGAUGAGUGCUAAGUGUUGGAGGGUUUCCGCCCUUCAGUGCUGCAGCUAACGCAUUAAGCACUCCGCCUGGGGAGUACGACCGCAAGGUUGAAACUCAAAGGAAUUGACGGGGGCCCGCACAAGCGGUGGAGCAUGUGGUUUAAUUCGAAGCAACGCGAAGAACCUUACCAGGUCUUGACAUCCUUUGACCACUCUAGAGAUAGAGCUUCCCCUUCGGGGGCAAAGUGACAGGUGGUGCAUGGUUGUCGUCAGCUCGUGUCGUGAGAUGUUGGGUUAAGUCCCGCAACGAGCGCAACCCUUAUUGUUAGUUGCCAUCAUUCAGUUGGGCACUCUAGCAAGACUGCCGGUGACAAACCGGAGGAAGGUGGGGAUGACGUCAAAUCAUCAUGCCCCUUAUGACCUGGGCUACACACGUGCUACAAUGGGAAGUACAACGAGUCGCGAAGUCGCGAGGCUAAGCUAAUCUCUUAAAGCUUCUCUCAGUUCGGAUUGUAGGCUGCAACUCGCCUACAUGAAGCCGGAAUCGCUAGUAAUCGCGGAUCAGCACGCCGCGGUGAAUACGUUCCCGGGCCUUGUACACACCGCCCGUCACACCACGAGAGUUUGUAACACCCGAAGUCGGUGAGGUAACCUUUUGGAGCCAGCCGCCUAAGGUGGGAUAGAUGAUUGGGGUGAAGUCGUAACAAGGUAGCCGUAUCGGAAGGUGCGGCUGGAUCACCUCCUUUCUAAGGAA